rnacentral:rRNA from 1 species
GACGAACGCUGGCGGCGUGCUUAAUACAUGCAAGUCGAACGAACAGACCCGGCGCUUGUUGCGUGCUCGUUUGGCGAACGGGUGUGUAACACGCGAGUAACCUGCCCCUGUCUUUGUGAUAACUUCUGGGGACAGCGGCGAUUACCGGGGAGGAUCUCCUGCUGCGUGGUGUUGGUUGGUAAGUUUCGGCGGUUGGGGAUGGACUCGCUGCUUAUCAGCUUGAUUGUGUGGUAGUGGCGUACCAAGGGUUUGACGGGUAGCCGGCCUGAGAGGGUAAGCGGCCACAAUGGGACUGAGAUACGGACCAGAAUGCUACGGGCGGCAGCAGUGGGGAAUAUUGCAGAACGGCGCGGAGCGUGAUGCAACGACGUCGGGUGCGGGAUGACCGGCUACGAGUUGUAAACAGAUGUCGAAGGAGCCGAAGAGUGCGUGACGGUAAUGGGUCAAGAAGCCACGGCUAACUACGUG